CUGAAUGCACCUGAUCAUGUCUGAUCUUGGAAGCUAAGAAG
ensembl:rRNA 5S_rRNA 5S ribosomal RNA